AUCGAGGUGAAUAUUUCGGAGACUACGAAGGUGCUCCUCAAUUAGGUCCAAAAUCUCGACCACCAUACAACCAGUAUUGGUUUUGAUCCCAAGUGAAUGUUGGAUGAUACUUAAAAAUCCCGAAGAACAACAUUCCCAGAAGAGUCCAACCUGGUAACGGAGGUUUCUUCGCAUCUAAUCGAGGAAGAGAUAAGGUCUGCCCAGACUCACGAGAGGGAUGAGGUCGAUGCUCACCCGCUGCUAGGAGCAGUGAAGCUUCGACAUCACGUUGAAAACCGAUAAAUUUGGAUUGGGCUUUGAAAAGAGCCUCGAGGUGUUCCUCUACAGCUGGAUCUGCAUCUUUGGAAUCAGAUGAUAGAUGGCAUACGACCUGAUCUUAGGCUUAUUCGGCCACAUUCCUAGCCCGUGAAAGAGCUGCCUUGAAGCCUUUACGACUGGCUUUCAAGACCUGGACGGCCUCACGAUCGGACAUGCUGAGGAUUCAAGACGGGAACCACUGGAAAUCCACAAAUCAACACCACGAUGGCACGGGAUGGAUUGGAUCCAAGGAUGAUCACGUACAAAUAACCGAUCACACAACCCGAAGUCUCAGAUCAGAGAUAGCCGUAGACGGAACGUACAUUUAAGAGUUCGUACAGACCGACUGCGCCAUCGCAUGAUCGUAUUGAGUGGACAAAAGCGGAGGACACAUAGAUCGAGUAAAGGUUCAGAUGGAAGUAUAUUUCUCGACUAGAUAUGCUCGGAAGUAAACGUCAAUCAUAACUCG